CAGAGAAUAGUUCAACCUAGAAUUCUAGCUUUGGGAGUUGGAGGUGGAAGUUCGAAUCUUUCUUCUCUGG
rnacentral:tRNA from 1 species